AACGAACGCUGGCGGCAGGCUUAACACAUGCAAGUCGAACGGAUCCUUCGGGAUUAGUGGCAGACGGGUGAGUAACGCGUGGGAACGUACCCUUUGCUACGGAAUAACUCAGGGAAACUUGAGCUAAUACCGUAUGUGCCCUACGGGGGAAAGAUUUAUCGGCAAAGGAUCGGCCCGCGUUGGAUUAGCUAGUUGGUGGGGUAAUGGCCUACCAAGGCGACGAUCCAUAGCUGGUCUGAGAGGAUGAUCAGCCACACUGGGACUGAGACACGGCCCAGACUCCUACGGGAGGCAGCAGUGGGGAAUAUUGGACAAUGGGCGCAAGCCUGAUCCAGCCAUGCCGCGUGAGGGAUGAAGGUCUUAGGAUUGUAAAGCUCUUUCACCGGUGAAGAUAAUGACGGUAGCCGGAGAAGAAGCCCCGGCUAACUUCG
rnacentral:rRNA from 1 species